AACGAACGCUGGCGGCAGGCCUAACACAUGCAAGUCGAGCGGACCCUUCGGGGUUAGCGGCGGACGGGUGAGUAACGCGUGGGAACAUACCCCUUUCUACGGAAUAGCCCCGGGAAACUGGGAGUAAUACCGUAUACGUCCUCCGGGAGAAAGAUUUAUCGGUGAGGGAUUGGCCCACGUUGGAUUAGGUAGUUGGUGGGGUAAUGGCCUACCAAGCCGACGAUCCAUAGCUGGUUUGAGAGGAUGAUCAGCCACACUGGGACUGAGACACGGCCCAGACUCCUACGGGAGGCAGCAGUGGGGAAUCUUAGACAAUGGGGGAACCCUGAUCUAGCCAUGCCGCGUGAGCGAUGAAGGCCUUAGGGUUGUAAAGCUCUUUCAGUGGGGAAGAUAAUGACUGUACCCACAGAAGAAGCCCCGGCUAGCUCCGCGCCAGCCGCCGCCGUAACAC
rnacentral:rRNA from 1 species